rnacentral:rRNA from 1 species
UUGACCUCAAAUCAGGUGGGACUACCCGCUGAACUUAAGCAUAUCAAAAGCCCGAAGGAAA